GGCUACCACCAUAACACCCUGAAUACGCCCGAUCUCGUCUGAUCUCGGAAGCUAAGCAGGGUUGGGCCUGGUUAGUACUUGGAUGGGAGACCGCCUGGGAAUACCAGGUGCUGUAAGUG
ensembl:rRNA 5S_rRNA 5S ribosomal RNA